rnacentral:rRNA from 1 species
UACAGAGGAUGCAAGCGUUAUCCGGAAUGAUUGGGCGUAAAGCGUCUGUAGGUGGCUUUUUAAGUCCGCCGUCAAAUCCCAGGGCUCAACUCUGGACAGGCGGUGGAAACUACCAAGCUGGAGUACGGUAGGGGCAGAGGGAAUUUCCGGUGGAGCGGUGAAAUUCGUAGAUAUUGGGAAGAACACCAGUGGCGAAGGCGGCUAUCUGGACCGUAACUGACGCUGAGACGCGAAAGCGUGGGGAGCAAACAGG